rnacentral:lncRNA from 1 species
CACUAGGGUUAUCAUAACAGCUAAAAACUUACUGUGAUCUAAUGUUUAACAUUUUCAUUUUCAUACUACUGUUUUCAGAUUCUCACAUCUCUCUGAGAGCCAAAACCAAACCCCUAAUGCUGCCUCAGUGUUGCUGAGUGAGACUUGAAAGACCCCUGACUUUCAGGAGUCCUUAGAGAAAUGAGUGCUGUGCUGCCUACUUCAUGACACAGAGACAACAUUGUGCCAGGUGUCCCCUCAUAACCUCCAUGUGCUGUCACCAUUUCCCAGAGCUUCCCAGCAAUCAUGACGCGCCUGAAAGUACAGAGGAAUUUAGCAAGGUGAAGCAGUGUCUCCAAAUGAAAGUAUUACUGCAGAGGAGGUGGAAGGACCCAGAC